rnacentral:rRNA from 1 species
GGCUAAGGCCAUAUCACCCUGAACGCACCCAAUCUCGUCUGGUCUUGAAAGCUAAGCAGGGUCCGGGCCUGGUUAGUACUUGGAUGGAAGACAGAUCUUCAGAAGAGACUGCUCAGAGACAAGCAGUUUAGAGA